rnacentral:rRNA from 1 species
AUGAACGCUAGCUACAGGCUUAACACAUGCAAGUCGAGGGGCAUCAGGGUGUAGCAAUACACCGCUGGCGACCGGCGCACGGGUGAGUAACACGUAUCCAACCUGCCCUUUACUCGGGGAUAGCCUUUCGAAAGAAAGAUUAAUACCCGAUGGCAUAACAUGACCUCCUGGUUUUGUUAUUAAAGAAUUUCGGUAGAGGAUGGGGAUGCGUUCCAUUAGGCAGUUGGCGGGGUAACGGCCCACCAAACCUUCGAUGGAUAGGGGUUCUGAGAGGAAGGUCCCCCACAUUGGAACUGAGACACGGUCCAAACUCCUACGGGAGGCAGCAGUGAGGAAUAUUGGUCAAUGGGCGAGAGCCUGAACCAGCCAAGUAGCGUGAAGGAUGACCGCCCUAUGGGUUGUAAACUUCUUUUAUAUGGGAAUAAAGGGUGCCACGUGUGGCAUUUUGUAUGUACCAUAUGAAUAAGGAUCGGCUAACUCCGUGCCAGCAGCCGCGGUAAUACGGAGGAUCCGAGCGUUAUCCGGAUUUAUUGGGUUUAAAGGGAGCGUAGGUGGACAUGUAAGUCAGUUGUGAAAGUUUGCGGCUCAACCGUAAAAUUGCAGUUGAAACUGCGUGUCUUGAGUACAGUAGAGGUGGGCGGAAUUCGUGGUGUAGCGGUGAAAUGCUUAGAUAUCACGAAGAACUCCGAUUGCGAAGGCAGCUCACUGGACUGCAACUGACACUGAUGCUCGAAAGUGUGGGUAUCAAACAGGAUUAGAUACCCUGGUAGUCCACACAGUAAACGAUGAAUACUCGCUGUUUGCGAUAUACAGUAAGCGGCCAAGCGAAAGCAUUAAGUAUUCCACCUGGGGAGUACGCCGGCAACGGUGAAACUCAAAGGAAUUGACGGGGACCCGCACAAGCGGUGGAGCAUGUGGUUUAAUUCGAAGCAACGCGAAGAACCUUACCAAGUCUUGACAUCCCGGUGACCAAGUAUGUAAUGUACUCUCUCUUCGGAGCAUCGGUGACAGGUGGUGCAUGGUUGUCGUCAGCUCGUGCCGUGAGGUGUCGGCUUAAGUGCCAUAACGAGCGCAACCCUUAUCUUCAGUUACUAACAGGUCAUGCUGAGGACUCUGGAGAGACUGCCGUCGUAAGAUGUGAGGAAGGUGGGGAUGACGUCAAAUCAGCACGGCCCUUACGUCCGGGGCUACACACGUGUUACAAUGGGGGGUACAGAAGGCCGCUACACAGCGAUGUGAUGCCAAUCCCUAAAGCCCCUCUCAGUUCGGAUCGAAGUCUGCAACCCGACUUCGUGAAGCUGGAUUCGCUAGUAAUCGCGCAUCAGCCACGGCGCGGUGAAUACGUUCCCGGGCCUUGUACACACCGCCCGUCAAGCCAUGGGAGCCGGGGGUACCUGAAGUACGUAACCGCAAGGAGCGUCCUAGGGUAAAACUGGUGACUGGGGCU